rnacentral:rRNA from 1 species
UACGUAGGGGGCGAGCGUUGUCCGGAUUUAUUGGGCGUAAAGAGCUCGUAGGCGGUUUGGUAAGUUGGAUGUGAAAUCUCCAGGCUCAACUUGGAGGGGUCAUUCGAUACUGCCAUGACUAGAGUUCGGUAGGGGAGUGUGGAAUUCCUGGUGGAGCGGUGAAAUGCGCAGAUAUCUGGAGGAACACCGGUGGCGAAGGCGGCAUCCUGGACCGGCAUUGACGCUGAGGCGCGAAAGCCAGGGGAGCAAACGGG